rnacentral:lncRNA from 1 species
UUCCUUUGCCUUCAGCUCCUAGGAGAAAUGCAGGCCUCGAUCCCAGGACCCUGACUGAGAUCAUGACCUGAGCCAAAGGCAGCAGCUUAACCCCUGAG